CAGUAGCCACGGGAAUACCGAGGGUGCAAGCGUUAAUCGGAAUUACUGGGCGUAAAGCGCGCGUAGGUGGUUUGUUAAGUUGGAUGUGAAAUCCCCGGGCUCAACCUGGGAACUGCAUCCAAAACUGGCAAGCUAGAGUAUGGUAGAGGGUGGUGGAAUUUCCUGUGUAGCGGUGAAAUGCGUAGAUAUAGGAAGGAACUCCAGUGGCGAAGGCGACCACCUGGACUGAUACUGACACUGAGGUGCGAAAGCGUGGGGAGCAAACAGGAUUAGAUACCCCUGUAGUCCCUGUCUCUUAUAC
rnacentral:rRNA from 1 species